rnacentral:misc_RNA from 1 species
UGAAAGUAAUAAAGAAAACUCGUAGCCUUUGCUACAAAAGAGCUUGUGUUUCAAGCCCUGAGAGGAGGACUCUCGCAUCGAUUCCGUCUCGCCAUCACUCCAUCUUCAUUGAUCCAUCUCUCUCUCUUUCACGAACCCAUCGGUUUCGUUCUCCGUUUAUACCACACGUGCUCUGUUUUUGUGUCUAAAAACAGAGUAGCCGUAUUUCAUCUCUUUUAAGCUUCUGCCUCUACACCAGAUUGGUAAGAAUCAACGGAAUAUAUGGGAUUAGGCUGGUAUACAUAUAUUUAUAUGAUGGUUUGAUAAGAGUCGUUGAAGGCUUUAAGAGGCAGAACGUCAUGAAGGCCUUAACUACGUAAGCCUAGUAUGGUUACUAUUAAUUUCAAAUUCAAUUACUGCAAGAUCCACGUGGUAUCCAUCUAUGACUGGAUAUAGUUCCGACCACAUAUCCAGGAUCCGCGUGUCAAUGUGCAGCCAAUUGUCCAAAGUACCCUUCCACAAAAUACUUAAUUUACUCUUGGAAUGCAAAAUUGUAACUGCAUCCUAUGUAAUAAACUACCUCAUAAAGUUAUUUAGUUUACAAUGAUUACCAAUUAACAGUAUGGAUAUAUAUGUGUAUGUAUACAAAAUAUUGACAUUAAUAACAGUCUAU